GCCCGGGUGGCGAAAUGGCAGACGCAACGGACUUAAAAUCCGUUGGCCGCAAGGCCGUGCGGGUUCGAGUCCCGCCCUGGGCA
rnacentral:tRNA from 1 species